UCUUGCUUCAGCCAGCAAAACAACCCAUCCUUAUUUUAGAUAACGACUGAGUAACAAUAACAUAAUCGACAUUUACUCAGCUCUCACUAGAGUUACAUUUAACUCCCUGGCAGUUCCAGACAAAAUCAUUCGGAGUUCGAGGUCUAAGCGACGUCCAUGUUUCGUCCAAGUAAUAACACAUUAAAAACGAAGGCCAGGCGUGUGCAGAUCAGAGGAAGGGGCUGAUGGAGAAUUGCCAUAUAAUCGAUCCUGAGAUGACAGUGGCAGGAUGGGUGUGUGUCGCUGUCAGGUUCUCCUGGGGGGAGUUCUAGUGAUGUCGAGUGUUGUGUGUCUGCAUCUGCAGCGUGUGUGUGCGUGUGUAAUGAGAGGGAUAUCCUCCUGGAGACUCCUGUCUGGCAAGAACUGGAAACGGAUCAUCACCUUGUGGAUCUGAUACCAACAGAGUGAGAGAGCGAAAGACAUAAGCUGAUGUUGGUGCCAGGCCGUAUUGAUCAGUCCUAACAGUUAUCCCAGCCCUUUAAACUCAGCCGAGGACUACUGCAGCACAGAAUUAAAUGAAAGAAAUCCCUCAGAGACAACAGGACGGGGAAAGUUGAUGCAGAUCUGUGAGUGUCUCUCUCCGCAGGCUGGGACCAAUCAGAGUGCUGUUUUUCAUUGAUGUGACAUGUCAACCGCCGGGGGCCAAUCAGAAACUGGCUCCCUCCCCUCUGAAUUGACAACUGGAAAAGGUGUCACACAUAUUGCUCUAAUGAGGAGCCCCGCUCUCGUCCGCUAUGUCCUUCAAGCUAGAGAGUGUGAGCGAGUUAGGAUCGGCACAGGAAACAAGGCGGAAUCGAACAGUUUCAUAAUGCAGGGUGUUGAAUCACUAAUUGCUUUUGGUCUUUUAAGCAGAGAGAAAUGAACUGCUUUUAAGCCCACCGCCGUAAUAUAUGGCUCCUUCGGGCAUCGGUGUAUACCAGGAAAAGAAGUGAAUGGAGCGAGAGAAAGAGAGAGAGAAGCGUGCUGAUGAUGGAGUGCAGACAGAAAUAUCAGUCCAUCAUAAGCAAUAAUUUCUCCCUGUUCCAGCGCCUUCAAUAGCUGCCCCAAUCACCGCCAAAAGCCUGCCAUGACUCCUAGCAUUUCCUGUCACACACUGGCUGCGUGACACUCUAUAAACGUCCAUACAGACAAGAAUAAACUAGCUUUCCCCCCCCUCUCUCUUUCCGCCUAUUCCUUUCUCUCUUUCUCUGUAAAUACAGGAGACACUGCAAGGUCUUUGCAAGGUCAAAAAAUAAACCAAACAUCCGGAUGAGAGAUGCCGAAAACGAUCCCUCUCAACAGAAGAAGCCACAUCUUGGCUUUAAUAUGAGAGCUUUCCUUUUCAUUUCAUUCGAUUCAAGUAAGCCCACCCGCGCAGAUAUAAUAUUCUUACAAUGCCGCUACCUGCAGGAGAUGUAAUCGGCAAAUGCACAGGAUUCAUUUCUGAGACGGCUUUACGGAGUUCAGUGGAGUUGGUGCUGAACGCUAUGACAGACUUUAAGGAAGGUUCCAGGUUCAAUACGAUAUAAGCUCUGUCGACAGCAUUUGGUGCAAAAUAACAUUAAAAUUCACACUGUU